CAGAUUAAUCUGAAUAAGGUUGGAGAGUACUGGUGGAGUGCUAUCCUGGAAGGAGAGGAGCAAAUUGACAUUGACAAAAUAAACAAGGAACGUUCAAUGGCGACAGUGGAUGAAGAGGAACAUGCCGUACUGGAUAGACUGACCUUUGACUACCACCAAAAACUGCAGGGCAAACCCCAGAGCCAUGAGCUGAAAGUCCAUGAGAUGCUGAAGAAAGGAUGGGAUGCUGAAGGCUCCCCCUUCCGAGGCCAGAGAUUCGACCCAUCCAUGUUCAACAUCUCCCCAGGGGCUGUGCAGUUUUAAUGACAAGAAGGAAAGAAAACCCACUCAAGUCAAGCUCUUGGAUGUAGAGGAUAAGGCAGAGAAAGGCCUUUUUGUGUGGGCUCUUUCCCUCCUGCUUUUCCUCCAAGGCUCCCAUGCAUGCCUGGUACUCAUCUUGUCCACCCCUGUAUCCAUCUUUAUUUGCAAGGGGUGUUUGGGUACCCCAGCCUCCUGCCUCCUCCCUUCCUGUCUGUUUCAGGGAAGAAGGGGAGGGAGUAGAGGGAAGGUUAAUGCAUAGCAACUGCUACGGCUGAUGCCAAGUUAGGAUAUUUGUUAUGCAUGAGGGAGAUGUCCUGGCAAAUGCAGGAUUACAUACUCCUGUCACCACGGUAACCAGCCGCUGCAAGCCGCAUUUUCUUUCCUUCUGUGUUCUCUGCUUGCUGUUGUUUUGAUGCGAUUCUGCUCAGUUCUCUUUAGGGGGUGGGGAGGGAGGGUCGGGGGGGAAGGGAGUUGCUGUUGCUGGGUUUUUUCCUGGCAGUUGUUGGAGUGAUUUGGAGUUGUGUGACUUACAUGUGCUGAUGAGAAGCAGCUCUGUGAUGGCUGCUUCAGGCUGUACUGUUUCAGGAAGCCCCUUAGUUUGGCCUUUUGUUUAAAAAUUCCACAUUCAGUCUUGCUCAUCAAUUUGUCAAGUCCUAUUUUUUCCUGCUUUUGGGUGCCUCCCAGGCACUAACAGUAGGAGAUUGAAGCUGCCCCCACAGUGGCAGAAACCUGCCUAGUUGGGAUUCUGGUGUCUUUAUUUGUUGCUCUCUUGUUGAACAAGGCCCAGGUGUUGGAAGGAGGUGCAAGUUCUCCCAGCAAAGAUCAGCUGCAGGUAGACAUUUCUGUCUCAGGAAAGAGUGCAGGAUAGAGCUGUCUAAUCAUGGCUUUCUCUGAGGCCAAGGAAGCUUAGGCCACUGCCUGUUUGUCCCAGUGUUGGCCAUGCGUUCUAUCCCACUGUUGUCUGAGUAAUGGACUUCUAGCUGCCACUCUUCUUCUAUGUUUAUCCUCAAGUCUCUUUUCAGCCCCCAUGAUCCACAACUUAUAUUUUGUUUACAUACAUCUCCUGGAUGAAUGUAGAGCUCAGUGGGAGGCAGGACAGUCUCUGAGAACAGGGGAGAUAUUUCAGCAUACAAUGAAUGAUAGGUUUGCCCUCUGUUGAAAGGCACAGAGCAGUGGAAAUCCUUAGAUGAUUAAUGGGUAGCCUGCAUAGGAUAUCAUUGAUGCCCUCAAGGGCCCCAGUGGAACCAUUGCUGUCCCUGAAGAAUAAUUGCAAAAAGGGUAGGAAUAAGGAUGCUGACUCCCAUGUGCUGAGCAGACAGAGGCAGAAAUGUCAGGAACUUGGUACACUCAAAAUCCUGCUCUGUAUGAGCUGGAUGCUUGGUUACAUAAGAGAAAGAACCUUAUUAAUACCUAAAAAACAACUGUCUUGCUAAUCUGUGCUAUUGAUGAGGAUGGGACCUCCACUUUAAAAACUGCUUACAGGUGAGCGGGCCUGCUGACUGUUUCUUCUGAAGUCUACAAACGAGUACUCUUUAGUUCUUUGCUUGUUCAGGGACACUUGUUUUUCAGUGUUCCUUAGAAACAGCACAUGACUGUUAGCUUGAAAGAUAUAAACAUAGCCCACUUUGAUUAAAUCUUUAUCCCCAUCCCAUUUGACCACCACUCAGAAAGCAAAGCCUUCAGAUUCACCUAGCAUUGCAUACCUAAUUAACAGAUAAUCCAGGAACAUAAAUUAUAUCAAUUUUUUUUCUGAGUUCCUAGAGAAAUUUCUAUUUGCUUCAGAACCCCACCCCAAUUUAUGGUCACCCAGAAUUAAUACCUACAUGUUGUUAUUGUGACCCUUUUCUGAGAGAAUAAUAGACUGAUUUUUAUGGGACAAGCAAUUCCUUGUGCUUACCCACUCCUUACAGGAGUGGGUGGGUCCAGCAGCCAAGCAGUGAUCUUACUGAGGCUGUCGUUUUGGAGUCAGCCGCUGACUUACAACUUAUUUCCAGCCACACUGUUUCCCUGGAGUCCUUAUAAGAAAGCUGUUCAACUCUCAUCCCCAGGGAACUUUCCAUAGGACAUGUCACUUUUUUCUGCAGAAAAGACCAGGGUCAUCCUCUUGAGUUAAAUGGUGGAUCUCUUCAGAAUCAGAAGUGUUAAGGUGUCCAGGUGGUGUUGGGGGCAGCAUCAGCUCAUUCCAAACAAUUAAAGACUCCUAAAAAGUCUAAGAGAUAUCUCGUCUUGGGGAAGUGAUGGCAGACACCACCAUGUUUUUGGGGGGUUAGUCACUAAAGCUAUAGUUUUUAUGAAUCAGAAUAGAACUGUCCUCUAGAAAUACAGAGCAAAAAAAAAUGAAAACUCAUGCCUAUUAUGAGGGCCUUGUGCUUUGAAACUUGCUAAAAUGCGAGGGUCUCUGCUCGUUUCUCUCUGAGUUCACAUGAAAGGGAGUGAGGCUAGUAUACCCUCAUUCCAAAGUAGCAUUUCACAGAUGGAAUGCUCUAUGUUUAAAGAUUCCUUUAUUUUUAAUUUUUAAUGAUGUUUGUAUGCACCUCUUGAACCUUGUUUGUCCUUCUCUCUUGCUGUUUUUAGCAUGUUUCUAAUUUACAGUUUUGCCAUCUCCUUGAGUACCCAUGGUAUAGGAGCUUUGCAGAAGGAUAUAUGUGGUUUGGCUAAAGCAGGGACAAUAGAUAAUCUGUCCAUAAACUACUGGAAGAUUUUUAAAAAUGAUUCACUUCUAUUGUAAAUGUUCUUCUACCUAGGGCAUCAUUUGAUAGUGCCCUAAUGUGGCUCAGGUCUUCUGUCUUUUGUUAGGAAGUAUCAAAUGAUAGAAGCUCUACUAGCAUGCCCCUAUUAAAAUAAAUGAAACCACUUCACAAAAAUAGGAACUUUAAGGGGUGUUUAAUUACAUUACAGAAGGACUCACUUUAAGAUUCCUUUUAGUAGCAGGGUUCUCUGGUGCAUGUUAAGUGACUAGACUUGGAAGACUUGGACUCAGACCCACCUUUCCAGGAUAUGCAUUAAUCACAUCUAUCUGUAUUUUUAAACCUUCAUCCUCUGCUCUGUAAUGAUGUGCUUUCUCUUCUUAAACGUCUGCCCAACCCUUUUGUGUCCAUGUACCAGUCCAGCCCUCUAGAGUCAGUGCAUUCUACCAGUUUUCUUUGUUUUAGAACUGGCAGCAGCAACUUGGCCAUUAAGUUCAACCAAAAGAGAUUCUGAGCAAAACAGGGCAACUCACUUCCCUUCUCCAUGGGAGCCAAAGAGAGUAGGGCGUGCUACAUCCUGAGGCCACUCUCCUUCACACACUCCACAUUUCUGUGUUGGUUUGCAAUAAAUCUGUAUUUAAGCA